rnacentral:rRNA from 1 species
GUGAACGCUGGCGGUAGGCCUAACACAUGCAAGUCGAACGGCAGCACAGUAAGAGCUUGCUCUUACGGGUGGCGAGUGGCGGACGGGUGAGGAAUACAUCGGAAUCUACUUUUUCGUGGGGGAUAACGUAGGGAAACUUACGCUAAUACCGCAUACGACCUACGGGUGAAAGCAGGGGAUCUUCGGACCUUGCGCGAUUGAAUGAGCCGAUGUCGGAUUAGCUAGUUGGCGGGGUAAAGGCCCACCAAGGCGACGAUCCGUAGCUGGUCUGAGAGGAUGAUCAGCCACACUGGAACUGAGACACGGUCCAGACUCCUACGGGAGGCAGCAGUGGGGAAUAUUGGACAAUGGGCGCAAGCCUGAUCCAGCCAUACCGCGUGGGUGAAGAAGGCCUUCGGGUUGUAAAGCCCUUUUGUUGGGAAAGAAAGGCAGCAGGUUAAUACCCCGCUGUUCUGACGGUACCCAAAGAAUAAGCACCGGCUAACUUCGUG